GUGAUAACGUGGGGGAGAGGUUUUGCUUGUGUUUCACCAGGAGAAAAUCAGCUUCCUGUUUGGAUACCCACUAGACAUUUGAAGUUCUACAAUGAACCCAUCGGAGAUGCAAAGAAAAGGGCCUCCACGGAGAUGUCUGCAGGUGUACCCAACAGCUCCGAAGAGACAGCGACCAUCGAGAACGGGCCAUGAUGACGAUGGCGGUUUUGUCGAAAAGAAAAGGGGGAAAUGUGGGGAAAAGCAAGAGAGAUCAGAUUGUUACUGUGUCUGUGUAGAAAGAAGUAG
rnacentral:lncRNA from 1 species